AGUAACUGGGACUACAGGUCCCGUUACUCAGUCCCACCACCACGCUCAGCUAUUUUUUUGUAUUUUUAGUAGGGACGGGGUUUCACUGUUAGCCAGGAUGGUCUCGAUCUCCUGACCCUGUGAUCCGCCGCCUUGGCCUCCCAAAGUGCUGGGAUUAGAGACAUGAGCCACCGCACCAGGCCUUUUAAUUUUUUAUGAAAAGCAUUUUUCCUUAUAAAAAAUAUUUUUCUAUGUUAAAGUUUUUUUUUAUGUUAAAAGUUCUUUUUUUUUUUUUUUUUUGAGAUGGAGUCUUGCUCUGGUGUGAUCUUCGCUCACUGCAACCUCCACCUCCCAGGUUCAAGUGAUUCUCCUGCCUCAGCCUCCUGAGUAGCUGGGAUUACAGGCACAUGCCUGGCUGAUUUUUUUAGUUUUAGUAGAGACCGGGUUUCACCAUAUUGGCCAGGCUGGUCUUGAACUCUUGACCUCAAGUGAUCUGCCUGCCUCAUCCUCCUAAAGUGCUGGGAUUAUAGGCGUGAGCCACCAUGCCCAGCAAAAGUUCUUCUUUAUGAUUAUAAAAUAAUUCAUGAGACAGUCCACAGCUGAGCUGGUCUGAGGGAAGUGGGUGCAAGGCUCCCACAGUGGAUGCCCCUACCCAGGAGGGCAGAAGAAGGUACACAUCGGGGGAGCAAACUCUGGUGCCAGUCAACCAGGAUUUGAAUCCUGGUUCUGCCACUUGCCAGUGUGUGACCAGGCGAGUGGCUUCACCUUGUGGGCCUCGGUUUCACCAUCUGUAGGUGGAUGGGCCUGCCUCCUAGGGCUGUGGCGGGGAUGAAGUGAGCUGGUGACUGGAAACGCUCAGCAUGUGCUAGCAGGUGGCGUGCAGGAAACAGCGGCGGCUUUGAGCAUUCACCCUGCCUCUCGGCUUCUUCCAGCCAUCUACACGGAUCUACAGACUGCUGGGAACCAUGCUGGUGGCCAGAGGUGGUUCUGUCAAGUUGGCUUCAUUUGGCGCUGGCCCAGGUGGCUUGGAGUUGGCUGAAAGGAGUGGUUUGGAAGAGACUGAGUCAGCCCUCUCUGUUUUCUGUCCUGUGGUCCCUCCCUUCAGCCAAUUCUCCCCUGAGCUGUGUCUGGUGGGCACUCUCAGCCUGUUCUGAGUUUCAGCCUCCACCUGCCCCCCUGAACCCUGCUCCUCUCCACACUGACCUGAGGCUCAGGAUGUUCCAGAAAGUAGAACCCAGAGUUGGGGAAACCCAGAAUCACAUUCCUUCAUGGGGGUUCAUUCAUGCAUUCAUUCCACAAACCAUCCUGAGAACAUCCCUCCCACUGUGGCCCUGCCAUAAGGCUGCAAUGGAGAGUGAGGCUGGGCAGGAUGGUUUCAUGUGGGCACAGGACUCACAAUGAUGGAGCGAUGUGUCCUGUGGAGCCACAUUCCCAUCCACCCCCAUAGCAGCCUCUAGUGUGUGGCUGACCACACCCUUGCCCAAAGAAGGAGAUGGGAGCGCAGGAGGGGGCAGGCCCAGCAUCGCACAGCCUUGCUGUGCCCUGUCCUCAGAGGCUCCUGACUGGGUGCCUGGCUAGGCCUGAGGCCAGGGAUGCCCAGGACACCCUGUCCCAGCAGGAUGGGCUGAGAGGGCCCACCAGACAGCCCAGAGGGAAUCCACAAAGGGAGGGAACAUGAGAGACGGAAAACAUCUGCCUUCACUGGAUUCAGCCAGAAGGGAACCAUAGCAUGUUUCUUACCUGUCACAGGUUGCUGCAACACUGCUGCCUACCACGCUGUCCCCAGGAACCAUCACUCUUUUCAUAGCCGUGGGCUGCAGGCCAGGUGAUCCGGGAUUGGCAGGUCCCUUGCAGGUGUCCUUCCUCCUGCUUGGACCUGCAGCUACCUGGGCUUCCUGAUUACUACAUCAAUGGCAGGGGCAUGAGGAGGGUGAGGGAUGCCCAGCACAGACCCAUGGUCCUUCUCACCCAUGCCAACCAAAGCAAGUCACAUGACCACACCUAGCCUCAAUGGGCAGAAGGAACUGCAAAGGCAUGUGGGAGAGGGCGUGCACAGAGGGAGGCUGAGGGUCUGGGGACAGACCCUCAGGAAGCACCUGCUUCCUGCUGGGAGCCACUCUGGGCAGGUGGUGGGUAGGACACAUGUCAGGAGGGCCCUUUUGCAGGUGAGGAAACUACUGUGGCCCAGAGAGAUAAAUUUCUCUCCAGCCCCAGAACAAAGUGGACCUAGACUCCUGGUCACCUGAUUGCUAAGCUCUCACCAGCCUAGACCUGUGCUACCCACCCCUGACACCCCAGGUUCAGUGCUCCCUGCUACUGAGUGUUCGCAGACUUUGUGAUGUAACAUUUCCAGGAUGCAGGAAUGCACAUGUAAGCAUGCACAAAGACACACAGAGAAACAGAGAACGAGAGUUCACUUUUGGCCAGACUUAAGAAUUCUAGAGAAAAAACAAUCUAUAUGAUGUACUAUAUUUUUAGUGCUAAAUGGUGCUAAAAGCCUUUUCUGGCAACCAUUAGAGACAGAGAGUUGCUUGGUUAGCUUGGGAGCAGAAAGCUGAACUGUGUGGCAUCACCUGGUUUUGUCAAUGUGCCUUCUUGGGCACACUCACUUGCUGGCAAGAUCUGGCUGCGUCCAGAUGCACUUGCAUUUGCCAACCUGAAUGUGCUUGAAAAUGAUGCUCACCCUUUGGGGAGAAUAAAGCUCAGACCUCCAGCUCUGCCAGGCCCCAGAGUAUCAUAGAUGGGUAAAGGGAAGAAAUCAUCACCAUCAGACAGAAAUCUCAGCAACGAUCACACCCUCUUAAAAAAUCACAUAGAACUUUAUUAAAUAAACCAGUAGAAAGGCUCCUAUUUACAUCCAGGUUGUCAGUUUAAGCUCAAGUAAUAUGCAAGGCACAAUUCUUCCUUUCUCCAGCUUUAGAAAAAUCAACCACAUGGCCCAGCCCUGAAGGACUGAAGGGAG
rnacentral:lncRNA from 10 species